rnacentral:rRNA from 1 species
GAUGAACGCUGGCGGUAUGCUUAACACAUGCAAGUCGAACGGACUCUUCGGAGUUAGUGGCGGACGGGUGAGUAACGCGUGAGAAUCUGGCUUUGGGUUCGGGACAACCACUGGAAACGGUGGCUAAUACCGGAUGUGCCGAGAGGUAAAAGAGAAAUUGCCUGAAGAUGAGCUCGCGUCUGAUUAGCUAGUUGGUGAGGUAAAGGCUCACCAAGGUAGCGAUCAGUAGCUGGUCUGAGAGGAUGACCAGCCACACUGGGACUGAGACACGGCCCAGACUCCUACGGGAGGCAGCAGUGGGGAAUUUUCCGCAAUGGGCGAAAGCCUGACGGAGCAAUACCGCGUGAGGGAAGAAGGCUCUUGGGUUGUAAACCUCUUUUCUUAGGGAAGAACAAAAUGACGGUACCUAAGGAAUCAGCAUCGGCUAACUCCGUG